UUAAGCGACUAAGCGUACACGGUGGAUGCCCUGGCAGUCAGAGGCGAUGAAGGACGUGCUAAUCUGCGAUAAGCGUCGGUAAGGUGAUAUGAACCGUUAUAACCGGCGAUUUCCGAAUGGGGAAACCCAGUGUGAUUCGUCACACUAUCAUUAACUGAAUCCAUAGGUUAAUGAGGCGAACCGGGGGAACUGAAACAUCUAAGUACCCCGAGGAAAAGAAAUCAACCGAGAUUCCCCCAGUAGCGGCGAGCGAACGGGGAGCAGCCCAGAGCCUGAAUCAGUGUGUGUGUUAGUGGAAGCGUCUGGAAAGGCGUGCGAUACAGGGUGACAGCCCCGUACACAAAAAUGCACAUACUGUGAGCUCGAUGAGUAGGGCGGGACACGUGGUAUCCUGUCUGAAUAUGGGGGGACCAUCCUCCAAGGCUAAAUACUCCUGACUGACCGAUAGUGAACCAGUACCGUGAGGGAAAGGCGAAAAGAACCCCGGCGAGGGGAGUGAAAAAGAACCUGAAACCGUGUACGUACAAGCAGUGGGAGCACGCUUAGGCGUGUGACUGCGUACCUUUUGUAUAAUGGGUCAGCGACUUAUAUUCUGUAGCAAGGUUAACCGAAUAGGGGAGCCGAAGGGAAACCGAGUCUUAACUGGGCGUUAAGUUGCAGGGUAUAGACCCGAAACCCGGUGAUCUAGCCAUGGGCAGGUUGAAGGUUGGGUAACACUAACUGGAGGACCGAACCGACUAAUGUUGAAAAAUUAGCGGAUGACUUGUGGCUGGGGGUGAAAGGCCAAUCAAACCGGGAGAUAGCUGGUUCUCCCCGAAAGCUAUUUAGGUAGCGCCUCGUGAAUUCAUCUCCGGGGGUAGAGCACUGUUUCGGCAAGGGGGUCAUCCCGACUUACCAACCCGAUGCAAACUGCGAAUACCGGAGAAUGUUAUCACGGGAGACACACGGCGGGUGCUAACGUCCGUCGUGAAGAGGGAAACAACCCAGACCGCCAGCUAAGGUCCCAAAGUCAUGGUUAAGUGGGAAACGAUGUGGGAAGGCCCAGACAGCCAGGAUGUUGGCUUAGAAGCAGCCAUCAUUUAAAGAAAGCGUAAUAGCUCACUGGUCGAGUCGGCCUGCGCGGAAGAUGUAACGGGGCUAAACCAUGCACCGAAGCUGCGGCAGCGACACUAUGUGUUGUUGGGUAGGGGAGCGUUCUGUAAGCCUGUGAAGGUGUACUGUGAGGUAUGCUGGAGGUAUCAGAAGUGCGAAUGCUGACAUAAGUAACGAUAAAGCGGGUGAAAAGCCCGCUCGCCGGAAGACCAAGGGUUCCUGUCCAACGUUAAUCGGGGCAGGGUGAGUCGACCCCUAAGGCGAGGCCGAAAGGCGUAGUCGAUGGGAAACAGGUUAAUAUUCCUGUACUUGGUGUUACUGCGAAGGGGGGACGGAGAAGGCUAUGUUGGCCGGGCGACGGUUGUCCCGGUUUAAGCGUGUAGGCUGGUUUUCCAGGCAAAUCCGGAAAACAAGGCUGAGGCGUGAUGACGAGGCACUACGGUGCUGAAGCAACAAAUGCCCUGCUUCCAGGAAAAGCCUCUAAGCAUCAGGUAACAUCAAAUCGUACCCCAAACCGACACAGGUGGUCAGGUAGAGAAUACCAAGGCGCUUGAGAGAACUCGGGUGAAGGAACUAGGCAAAAUGGUGCCGUAACUUCGGGAGAAGGCACGCUGAUAUGUAGGUGAAGUCCCUCGCGGAUGGAGCUGAAAUCAGUCGAAGAUACCAGCUGGCUGCAACUGUUUAUUAAAAACACAGCACUGUGCAAACACGAAAGUGGACGUAUACGGUGUGACGCCUGCCCGGUGCCGGAAGGUUAAUUGAUGGGGUUAGCGCAAGCGAAGCUCUUGAUCGAAGCCCCGGUAAACGGCGGCCGUAACUAUAACGGUCCUAAGGUAGCGAAAUUCCUUGUCGGGUAAGUUCCGACCUGCACGAAUGGCGUAAUGAUGGCCAGGCUGUCUCCACCCGAGACUCAGUGAAAUUGAACUCGCUGUGAAGAUGCAGUGUACCCGCGGCAAGACGGAAAGACCCCGUGAACCUUUACUAUAGCUUGACACUGAACAUUGAGCCUUGAUGUGUAGGAUAGGUGGGAGGCUUUGAAGUGUGGACGCCAGUCUGCAUGGAGCCGACCUUGAAAUACCACCCUUUAAUGUUUGAUGUUCUAACGUUGACCCGUAAUCCGGGUUGCGGACAGUGUCUGGUGGGUAGUUUGACUGGGGCGGUCUCCUCCUAAAGAGUAACGGAGGAGCACGAAGGUUGGCUAAUCCUGGUCGGACAUCAGGAGGUUAGUGCAAUGGCAUAAGCCAGCUUGACUGCGAGCGUGACGGCGCGAGCAGGUGCGAAAGCAGGUCAUAGUGAUCCGGUGGUUCUGAAUGGAAGGGCCAUCGCUCAACGGAUAAAAGGUACUCCGGGGAUAACAGGCUGAUACCGCCCAAGAGUUCAUAUCGACGGCGGUGUUUGGCACCUCGAUGUCGGCUCAUCACAUCCUGGGGCUGAAGUAGGUCCCAAGGGUAUGGCUGUUCGCCAUUUAAAGUGGUACGCGAGCUGGGUUUAGAACGUCGUGAGACAGUUCGGUCCCUAUCUGCCGUGGGCGCUGGAGAACUGAGGGGGGCUGCUCCUAGUACGAGAGGACCGGAGUGGACGCAUCACUGGUGUUCGGGUUGUCAUGCCAAUGGCACUGCCCGGUAGCUAAAUGCGGAAGAGAUAAGUGCUGAAAGCAUCUAAGCACGAAACUUGCCCCGAGAUGAGUUCUCCCUGACUCCUUGAGAGUCCUGAAGGAACGUUGAAGACGACGACGUUGAUAGGCCGGGUGUGUAAGCGCAGCGAUGCGUUGAGCUAACCGGUACUAAUGAACCGUGAGGCUUAACCU
rnacentral:rRNA from 1 species